rnacentral:rRNA from 1 species
UAUGAAGCCGGAAUCGCUAGUAAUCGCAAAUCAGAAUGUUGCGGUGAAUACGUUCCCGGGUCUUGUACACACCGCCCGUCACACCAUGGGAGCCAGGAAUGCCCGAAGCCAGUGGCCUAACCGCAAGGGAGGAGCUGUCGAAGGCAGGCCCGGUAACUGGGGUGAAGUCGUAACAAGGUAAC